CAUAUCAUAGGACAAGGGGGACAGCUAGCAAGGGACGGAUGCAUAUUUUUUGCUGUGACAGCUCAUGAGGCACUAAGAAAAGAUGCUCUUUUCUCAUUGGUUGCGAAAACGAAAAAAGAAAAAGUUACUACCUCUCAAGGUCUUUCUGGGAAAAAGAAAAACAGAAAGAAAAAAAAAGAGAACCUUCUUCUUCCAAACUGUUUAGCCGGCGACUUCCACCACCACACAACAUCCUACACCACGAC
rnacentral:lncRNA from 1 species